rnacentral:rRNA from 1 species
UAAGGAAUAUUGGUCAAUGGACGGAAGUCUGAACCAGCCAUGCCGCGUGAAGGACGAAGGCGUUCUGCGUUGUAAACUUCUUUUAUCAGAGAAGAAACCACCGAUUUCUAUUGGUGUUGACGGUAUCUGAUGAAUAAGCACCGGCUAACUCCGUGCCAGCAGCCGCGGUAAUACGGAGGGUGCAAGCGUUAUCCGGAUUUACUGGGUUUAAAGGGUGUGUAGGCGGAUUAUUAAGUCAGGGGUGAAAUCUCCGAGCUCAACUCGGAAACUGCCUUUGAUACUAUUAGUCUUGAAUUAUGUUGAGGUUGGCGGAAUAUAACAUGUAGCGGUGAAAUGCUUAGAUAUGUUAUAGAACACCGAUUGCGAAGGCAGCUGGCUAAACAUAUAUUGACGCUGAGGCACGAAAGCGUGGGUAGCGAACAGG